UACGUAGGUGGCAAGCGUUGUCCGGAUUUACUGGGCGUAAAGAGCGCGCAGGCGGUUGGAUAAGUCGAAUGUGAAAGCCCCCGGCUCAACUGGGGAGGGUCAUUCGAUACUGUCCGACUCGAAGGCAGGAGAGGGAAGCGGAAUUCCCGGUGUAGUGGUGAAAUGCGUAGAUAUCGGGAGGAACAUCAGUGGCGAAAGCGACUUCCUGGACCAAUACUGACGCUCAUGUGCGAAAGCGUGGGGAGCAAACAGGG
rnacentral:rRNA from 1 species